AACCGGUGUUGAGGACACUUCUGUAGGAGGUCCUUCAAUCUCUCCCAAGUCUCAAACAAGGAUUCAAGCCCCAUCCAAAAAAAAUAAAGAUAUCUCAUUAUGAAGCUU